AACGAACGCUGGCGGCAUGCCUAACACAUGCAAGUCGAACGGGACCUUCGGGUCUAGUGGCGCACGGGUGCGUAACGCGUGGGAACCUGCCCUUAGGUUCGGAAUAACUCCCCGAAAGGGGUGCUAAUACCGGAUAAUGUCUUCGGACCAAAGAUUUAUCGCCUUUGGAUGGGCCCGCGUUGGAUUAGCUAGUUGGUAGGGUAAAAGCCUACCAAGGCGACGAUCCAUAGCUGGUCUGAGAGGAUGAUCAGCCACACUGGGACUGAGACACGGCCCAGACUCCUACGGGAGGCAGCAGUGGGGAAUAUUGGAAAAUGGGCGAAAGCCUGAUCCAGCAAUGCCGCGUGAGUGAUGAAGGCCUUAGGGUUGUAAAGCUCUUUUACCCGGGAUGAUAAUGACAGUACCGGGAGAAUAAGCUCCGGCUAACUCCGUG
rnacentral:rRNA from 1 species